CCAAUAGCGUAUAUUAAAGUUGUUGCAGUUAAAAAGCUCGUAGUUGAAUUUCGGGGUCAGUAGGUCGGUCGUGCCACUGGUAUGAACUGGUUUUACUGAUUCCUCCCUCUUGAAGAACUGUAAUGCCAUUAAUUUGGUGUUGCAGGGAAUCAGGACUGUUACUUUGAAAAAAUUAGAGUGUUUAAAGCAGGCUUUAGCUUGAAUACAUUAGCAUGGAAUAAUGAAAUAGGACGUUUGAUCCUAUUUUGUUGGUUUCUAGGAUUGACGUAAUGAUUAAUAGGGAUAGUUGGGGGCAUUAGUAUUCAAUUGUCAGAGGUGAAAUUCUUGGAUUUAUUGAAGACUAACUACUGCGAAAGCAUUUGCUAAGGAUGUUUUCAUUAAUCAAGAACGAAAGUUAGGGGAUCGAAGACGAUCAGAUACCGUCGUAGUCUUAACCAUAAACUAUGCCGACUAGGGAUCGGAUGAUGUUAAUUUUUUAAUGACUCAUUCGGCGCCUUACG
rnacentral:rRNA from 1 species